AAUCUCAUGAUUCUCAUCACCCACAGCUUUAUCAGCUGCUCUUGAUGAAGAAGAUCCUAGCUGUGCUACUGUUGAUAAUGUGAAGCUUUGCAGAAAAUAAGGCUGCAGAAAUUAAGGGAUGAAGAUCCGUGCAGCCCAUCUGUUCUCAGCUGCAGUGGAAAGAAAAAAGUUGGAGGUGGCUGUGCUCCUGACCAGCUCUAAACCAGCAUCCCUGUCUUCAUGCUUUAGAUGCAGACAGGACAGAAACAGAAAACUCUUUGUCACUUACUGAGGGAUCCUGAAGAAGUCCUGAGGAAGGGAAGUAGUUGCUUUAUGAUAGGGACUUCUGUUUCUUUAAGAUUUAUUGGUGUAAGGACUGGUAAAGGAAGAGGAAAAGUGGACCUAUUUUCCUUGUAUUCUGGACCAUUGCUGAUUCACUGUGCCAAAGUCACUUGUGACAUUUGCUGGUAUCAUAGUGGAGGAUGUAAUUAUACUGUCCCUCAGCAACUAAACCAUCAGUUCUUGGUACAUUUAUGGUAUGCCUUGCACUGCACGUUCUUAGUAUAUAUAAAAAUAACACAUUUGCAUGCUUUUUUGAUUGGUAGACAAAUUGUAGGUAUCAUAAAAUGUUCCACAGAUACUGUAAGUUUAUGAAAACGAAGAGUUCAGAAUUUCUCAUAAUUUGCAGUACUCACUUGAGGCAUAUCAACUUUGUCAGAGAGAAGUUCUCUUUUAAUCACUUCCUUUGUGGUUGGAGCAGAUAAUGGAGUGCUGAUUCAUCUGUAUUGCUUGUAUAAUCUUUUUAAACCAUGUCCUAAAACUUUAAUUUUAUAGUUUCUGUGUCUAGUAAGAAUACUGCAUUCUUGGGCCACAUGUUAAUUUCAGUGGGAAAGAAGAGUUGGAAAUAUAACUGUAUCAAAUCAGGUGGAAGAAGAGUUAUCUGGAAUUAAUUCUCACGUGGAUAUGCAGCUGUGUCAGUAGGGGUAGGGUUCUCUUCAAAAAAUGAAAAAUAAAAUUUCUAAC
rnacentral:lncRNA from 7 species